UCCCAGGUGGCUCAGUGGUAAAGAACCUGCUUGCCAAGCAGGAGACUCGGGUUCGAUGCCCAGGUCAGGGAC
rfam:TPA: Bos taurus chromosome 6, whole genome shotgun sequence.